UCUCAGGCACACCAGGGCUAAGACUGGGUAUUCUGGCUGUUCCGUGAUUUAAAGAGAACUACUGUCCUAAAGAGUAACUCUAUCAACAACAGAAAAGCUGUGAAGGAAGAACAGAGGAUAAUGUGAAAGGGUUUUGUCUGAAUCAUUUGGAGCACAUUUGAAGGGUGAAAAAGACGACAAACAGGAAGCUCGAGAGAUUCGAGCCUGGUUGCUAGCCAUGGAGGAGGAUUUUAUGAAAAAGAGCCAUCCUGAUGUCAUAACACAGCAGCACAUGACCAAUGUGGAUAAGAGCUACUCCGAGACCAAGCGUGCCGAUUCAGGGCCAAACGGCUGCUUGCGGUGCUGCAAGAGUACCAAGAAUUGCCUGAUGAGCCCAGAAUGUGGCAGAGCUCUCAACAUCGCUAGUGUCGUCGCCAUGUGUGGCAUGUGCAUCCGCAUGUGGACAUAGAUUUCUACUGCUUCUGAAUCAAGCACAUUCUGUCUCCUGAUGGUUGCCACCCUGAACUUAGAACAAUAUGAAGCAUCAUGAUUAUGGAAUCUCGACCAAACCUCUAUGAAACCAUUAUUACACACCCUUAGAUUGAACUCCACCCUAUUUGCUAAUCAUAUAUCUUUGACAACAUGCACAACAUUACAGCAUAUCUGUAAGUAAAGAAAUUAUUAAAUAGGUUAAUAAAUGGGUUAAUGAAAAUGUAAUGUAACAACAAGACUUUAAUAAUCUGUGAAUAGCGUAUUUAUUUUUAAUGCAUAAAAUGUUUGAAGGAUUUUACAUGGAUGCCAUCCUCAGGUCUCUGUCUUCCCUCAGCUGCUGUAUCAUGACAUGUAGCAGUGAGCUGUGACUGAAUGCCUGCAGGUGAACAAUCAGUAGAACCCAGACCUUGAUUUUAAGACUCUAACAUUCUACAAAAACCCUGGGUAUUAGACACUUUUAGCUCAGAACAAGGCUGUGAAUGAUGACUUUUCAUCUGCAUUCUGCUACAUAUUAUUCAUAGCGUCGUUACGAUUGUCAUCUGCAACUAAAGUAAUUAAAUUAAAAAAGUCUAGUGGCACUGGAGGUCAUGUUCACUGUCAUUUAGUUUUUAAUUUUCACUUUGUUGACAAUUUUCCUGUUUAAUUACCUUAAAUCAGUUAAGUAAUUUAAUCAUUUGAAGUGUCUUCCCCCACAAUUGCCAUGCUUUUCAUUUGCAUAUGAGUAACGGAGAACAGCCACCUUUUUGGUAUUCUCAACACAUAACCUCAUGUAUUCUAUUAUUCUCAUAACCCGAUUAGACACUGCUAUCUUUUUUUUUUUUUUUCAAACUUAAUCACUUCUAAACUUUUGUGGAUGUAGUCUGAGCUAAAUUUAACAAAGAUGUGACAUCUCUGAUUUUGAUUUAUACUGCUCUCUGCUCUUCAAAAUACAAAGAAAACAUGAUACAUAUCUUUGUCUUAUCUGUGGUCUUGAAUUAUGUACUAUACAUACAAGCAAAACAGCAGCAUGAUAAAUGCAUUCAGAUUGAGUUCAUAGUCGUUGUCUAGUUUGAUCUAGCUAGUUCCUCAAGGACAAAGCGAGGAAGUCAGCUAAAUGGUGCGUGUCAAACGCUUGGAAUUAUAUAGUCUAUCUGACACCAUUGAGCCAAUGUUUACUUUCAUACAUUCAUUCAUUCAUUCUCAAUCACCAGCUUUUUCUGGUCAGGGUUGUGCUAUUAUGAUAGAGAAUAAUGGGUCUGUACAUGCUGCACAGAACACCAGUCCAUCUUGCACCUACCACAUUGACACCUAGAGGCACUUUAGAGAUGCCAGUCAACCGUUUUUGAGGUUGGAAGAAACCAAAAACCCUGGAAGAAACCCACAUGGACACAAGAAGUACAAUAACAAAUCAAUACAUAAAAAAACCUGAAGUCACAAUAGAACCAGGAACCCUGGUGUUGUGAGAUAGCGACGGUGCUUGUUUCAUCAUUGUUCUCAAUUUUCGGGAAAAAAGACACAUAGAAUCUCAACAAACACACUGACACAUUAAAUUAUGAAAGCGUAACAGAAAAAGAAAACACCAUUAUGCUUUCAUAGUGUUUCAUUCAAAGAGUCUAAUUUAUUGUGAGCAUACAGACCUAAAGGUAUUGCAUCGUUAUACCAGCAAACGUUCUGUUAAUCUGACUUAUUUUGACUUUAAAUUAUUGGUAUGUCAUAAACCAAAGGUCAGCUAUUGCUCGCAGUCAUACAUAUUCCCUCCAUGCUCCUAUUAUUUUUCUCUUUCUGACUAUCUGGAGCACCUUUCCAUUUUCAAGGGGCUGUAAGCUCUGCAACUACACUUUAAUGAAUGCAAGGUAAAGAUCAUUCUAACCCUGAGCUCUAGUCUUUCCUGUAAGAGGAAUAAAAUUGUUCGAGUAAAAGCUUUUCUUUCCUUUUCUUUGCAUGCUCCAUCACUUGAUUCAGAUAUCUGCUCCUGACAGCACUUAGCCUUUUCACCUACAUGAACAAGGUGGCCUUUUGAAGCGACUUACUACUUUUUCUCUGUUGGAUGAACUGAGGGUUGUUCUUUUAUUUUUUAUUUCUUUCGCUAGAGAAUCACAAUCACCUUAGUAAUAGAAUCAGAUCUAAAUUGCAGACAUCUUAGCAUCUUGCUGGCUAAUAUCUUGUAUCUUAGGAAUUGUAUUGAUCCUUAUGUAUUUGGACUUGAUGUAGUAAGCUAUUUGAAACCAUUUCAGUUGUAUUUAAGAUGCAAUGUCUGAUAUGUACAAAAUAUAACCUGCCUACAAUAAAGUGCUCUUUCCACUGAUAA